CACCUACAACAUAGUGUUAAUGCAUUGGAUCCCAUUAGAACUCCGCAGUUAAGCGUGCUCAGGCUAAAGUAGUACUGGGAUGGGUGACUGCCUGGGAAGUCCUAGUAUUUUACAUGC
rnacentral:rRNA from 1 species